UACGGAGGGUGCAAACGUUGCUCGGAAUCAUUGGGCGUAAAGCGCACGUAGGCGGCCUGAUAGGUCGGGUGUGAAAGCCCUGGGCUCAACCCAGGAAGUGCACUCGAAACUGUCAGGCUUGAAUAUGGAAGAGGGUCGCGGAAUUCCCGGUGUAGAGGUGAAAUUCGUAGAUAUCGGGAGGAACACCAGUGGCGAAGGCGGCGACCUGGGCCAAUAUUGACGCUGAGGUGCGAAAGCGUGGGGAGCAAACAGG
rnacentral:rRNA from 1 species